GUGGGCGUAGCUCAGUCGGUUAGAGCACCAGGUUGUGGUCCUGGGGGUCGGGGGUUCGAGUCCCCUCGCUCACCCCA
rnacentral:tRNA from 1 species